GACGAACGCUGGCGGCGUGCUUAACACAUGCCAGUCGAACGGAAAGGCCCUGCUUUUGUGGGGUGCUCGAGUGGCGAACGGGUGAGUAACACGUGAGUAACAUGCCCUUGUCUUUGGGAUAACUUCAGGAAACUGGGGCUAAUACCGGAUAGGAGCUCUUGCUGCAUGGUGGGGGUUGGAAAGUUUCGGCGGUUGGGGAUGGACUCGCGGCGUAGCCGCUUGUUGGUGGGGUAGUGGCUUACCAAGGCUUUGAAGGGUAGCCGACCUGAGAGGGUGAUCGGCCACAUGGGAAGUGAGACACGGUCAUGAGUCCUAAGGGAGGCCGCAGUAGCGAACGGUAGGCAAUGGGGGGAAGCAUGACGGAGCGGCGCCGCGCGAGUGACGACGGUCCUCGGUGCGUAAAACUCUGUUAGGAGGGAAAAACAUAUGUGUCAGGAACUGAGCACAGAUUGACGGUAACGAAUAAGAAAGCCCCGGCUAACUACGUG
rnacentral:rRNA from 1 species